rnacentral:rRNA from 1 species
CUGGCGGCCACCGCUAUAGGAAUUCGAUUAAAGAACAUGCGAGUCGAGAGUCUUCGGGACUCGGCGGACUGCUCAGUAACACGUGGAUAACAUGCCCUUAGGAGGGGGAUAAUCUCGAGAAAUUGAGGAUAAUACCCCAUAGGCCAUGAAUGCUGGAAUGCUUUAUGGCCCAAAGCUCCGGCGCCUAAGGAUUGGUCUGCGGCCUAUCAGGUUGUAGUGGGUGUAACGGACCCACUAGCCUAUGACGGGUAUGGGCCUUGAGAGAGGGAGCCCAGAGAUGGACUCUGAGACACGAGUCCAGGCCCUACGGGGCGCAGCAGUCGCGAAACCUUCACACUGGGGGAAACCCUGAUGAGGGAAUUCCUAGUGCCUGCAUUUUUUGUAGGCUUUUAUCUAGUGUAGAUAGCUAGAAGAAUAAGGGCCGGGUAAGACGGGUGCCAGCCGCCGCGGUAAUACCCGCGGCCCAAGUGGUGGUCGAUAUUAUUGAGUCUAAAACGUCCGUAGCCGGUUCAGUAAAUCUUUGGGUAAAUCGGCCAGCUUAACUGACCGAAUUCCGAAGAGACUGCUGAACUUGGGACCGGGAGAGGCCAGAGGUACUUCUGGGGUAGGGGUAAAAUCCUGUAAUCCUAGAAGGACCACCGGUGGCGAAGGCGUCUGGCUAGAACGGAUCCGACGGUGAGGGACGAAGCCCUGGGGCGCAAACGGGAUUAGAUACCCCGGUAGUCCAGGGUGUAAACGCUGCAGGCUUGGUGUUGGGGGUCCUUCGGGGGCGCCCAGUGCCGGAGAGAAGUUGUUAAGCCUGCUACUUGGGGAGUACGUCCGCAAGGAUGAAACUUAAAGGAAUUGGCGGGRGMRCACCGCARCSKKMGGAGCGUGCGGUUUAUUG